rnacentral:rRNA from 1 species
UUUUAAUUGAAGGCUUGUAUGAAAGGUUGGACAAAGGAUAAGCUGUCUUUAUUUUUGUUUUUGAAUUUGUCUUUUAAGUGAAAAGACUUGAAUUAUUUUAAGGGACGAUAAGACCCUAUAAAUCUUUAUAUUAAUAUAUUUUUAUUUUAAUUUUUUAAUGUUUACGGAAAAGAAAAUAUAAAAUAUUAUAUUGGGGUGAUAAGAAUAAAAAAUAAACUGUUCUAAAAAGAAUACAAAGAUAUUUGGUUAAAUAAUAGAUCCUUUUUUGAGAUUAAAAGUUUAAGUUACUUUAGGGAUAACAGCGUUAUUUUUUUUGAGAGUUCUAAUCGAAAAAAAAGUUUGCGACCUCGAUGUUGAAUUAAAAUUUCUUUGUGGUGCAGUAGCUAUAAGAGAAAGUCUGUUCGACUUUUAAAAUUUUACGUGAUCU